CUAAUUUUGAAGUUUGGGACUUUGGAAAGCAGAUCUUGAGUGGCCUCUUAUACCUUCACAAACACAAGCCAUUUCCAAUAGCUCAUAUGGAUUUAAAACCGGACAACAUACUGCUGGAUGAAGGUCAGAUUCAUCCUCGAGUGAAACUUGCUGAUUUUGGUCUAUCCCUGCCUCUGAGUCAGGAUAACAUAAAGACUUACGGCGGACAUGCUCGUUGGAUGGCACCAGAAUUGUGGCUUAGCCAAACCUCAUUGCAUCAGCAGUCGAAAGAAUUAUGUCUUAAGAGUGAUGUGUUUAGUUAUGGCCUUAUCUUGCUGUUUCUAAUUACUGGAAAGACACCUUGGCAUUCUAUUACUGACCUUGAUUAUCCAACUGCCUCAAGCAGCAGCAACAGCGGCAGCUUCAGCAGCAGCAGCAGAGGCAUCAGUUAGAGUGAACCUCCAGACAAAGGAAGAUUUGAGAUUCCAGGAAAUCUUGCACCCAAACUAUUGGCAAUAAUACAACAUUGCUAUGUGGAGAAACCUAUGGAUAGAGCAAACUGUAGUCAAGUUAACAAUCCUUAUUACAAAGGUGAAAUUCUUUGCCCGGAUAUCAACAUGGCAGCAAACGCAAGCAAAAUGUCAGACAGGAAAUAUACGACUCUAAAAACCAAAACUGCGGCCAAAGAUUUAUUUAUGAAGCAGGUCCAAGGUGUAGGAAUGGCAUCCAGGUUGGGGGAAACCUCAAUAUAAAUGCGCGGUAAUAGUCUAGCUGUAUGUAACCUCUGUCGACCAAGUGCCGCACAUGCACACUGCACUAACGUUAUUAGAUAUACUAAACUAAUUAGGCAUACCAAACGCUGUCCGCGUACU